CAAAUGUUUACAGAUUGUGGCAGCUGCUACGUAUGAGAAUGCCAGAGGGGCAGCGACCUUGGCUGUACGAUUGACAUCUUGCAAAGUAACCGCAACCUCUCAUACAGCUCAUUUAUUCCCACAGAAGGUUCAGUCUGCUACAGUGGGAGAAGAUCACCAUUGUCCAGAGGGGAAGAUAUUACAGUGCCACAAAAGAGUGACGGGAGGUCGAAGAGCCUUAUUUACCAACCAACCUGCGCCUGUGCUCAGGCUGCCCAUCACAUAUCCCGCUAGUCGAUAAACCUCAAGGUUAUUUAGGCAGAUGAAAACAAGAGUCAAGGGUGCUCCAUGGCACAUUCGCAUGAGGACAGCUUUUAAUUGCCUAAAGGAUCUCUUCGGCUCCAGAGACGGAUGUGGAUGUGGCAACCGUCUGAUCUUAAAGCGCCCAUGCAGCUCUGCUCCGCUGAGGCUGGCUAAGCUAAUAGCAUGUAGCACUGGAAAAUGUGAGGAAGGGUUUGACUCCUGAGCCUGAAAUCUGAGCGUCAGGUUGUUUUCAAGUCCCUAUCUCCCCAUGAAAUAGGGAAGAAAGGAGAAAACCCUGCUUAAUGAGGUAAAAAGCCGUUAAAAUUUAUGCUUACAGGAUUGCCCGGUGACUUUUGAUGUAAUUACUUGGGGAGCCAAGGGCCCCUGAGGAAACGGAGGCAAGGUGCUGACGGUAAAGAUGAGACUGUGAGAGGAGGGGCAGAUGAAUUAAAAUGCAAAACAAGUUGAAAUAACUUAAAAAUAAAGAAAAACCCCACCAAGUGGUGAAGACAGAGAUGUGAGAUCACAGUCUCAUUACUUUAAAACACAAUGGAGCGCUGAAAGCUAAAGCGAUUAGCUGUGCAUUUUGCUUUCCUCUUCCCUCCGCCCCCUCCUUCUCUCUAAGGAUGGGAGUCUCCACCGCUUGCCACACAGAUUUUGUGAUUAAUCAAACGUGUGGGGAAAAGGGAGCUGGAGAAGGAGUAGGGCCAACAGAGGUCCCCAGCCAGAGCAGUGCGCCUGAGGGGCUCUGGGAACCCCUCGUCUCCGGGCCUCAGGUCCCGGGAUCAGCUUCCACAAAUAUUGGGAUUUGAUGGGAAGCUGGGCGGUAAGCCCCAAACAGAUGGUCCAUGAUGUUCAGUUAAGACCGCAAUUGAUUUGAGGAAACAGAUAUCCCCCCUCCUCGUUAAGUUGAAAGUACCUCUGGGACGGCAGUCAAGUGCUUUUCUAACCUCUGCCGUCAGAACCAGAGAGCGGCAAACAGACAAGCAGCGACUCGCCAACUCUCCAGCAGGGAGAGCAGGGAGAGGGGCUGCUCAACCCCCUGAUCCCCUUAAUAAUGGAGGCUUGGCAGAGGGUGGAAAUUACCCCUCUCCAAGAGGAGCCAGGCAGAUUCAGCCAAACGGGGUUAAUCUGGAGAAGAGUGUAGUUGCUUGACCUUAUCUUAACCUGGUUCAUGGAAGUUUCAACUUGAACUUGAAAGAGUUACAUGGCUACUGCGAUGAGGGGAAUCGGGGGGAUCAAUUGAAUUCAAAUCAACAAAAGUGUCUCUCCAGUCAUGGUUAGAGAUAAACCCAUAAUGUAGGCGAUCAGAUAAGAGCACAGAUGAGAAUCACCAGAGAUGUUCUCUUGCAUGUAGCAUAUGCUAAGGGCUCAGCUCAGUUCAGAGUUUUGAAAUAGAAUAUGCAACAGAGGCAUUUAAAGUAUAAUACAGUAACACAUGGUGCUAUAUAGAUAAAUGAAAUGACUGAAAUUAAAUAAACUGAAUCAACGACUACCAAGAACAAGUAAAAUGAAAAUGACUGUAUAAUCAACAGAACUAUCCUUAUUAUCUGUGCAAUACAACUCUUUGACUUAGAAUAAGAGGCACUUUUUUGUCCUAAAAUCUAAACACCAACAUUUUAAAGUGGAUAUAGCAAAAAUAUAAUUAUGAUGAUAUUUGAAAAGUUAUUCCUCACUGUGUUUCUGAGCACACAUACUGCAGCUUGUCAAGAUCAAUUAAUCACAAUCAUUAUUUGAAAGAAUUAUAUUAAUAAAAAAAUAAAAAAACAAUCACUUCAGAAUAAGAAUAAAAAACAUCUUUACAGUGUACAGGUGAACCGGAAACCUACAGUGAAAGGUAACAAUGAGAGGCAGAGCUGGUCAGAAACCAUGUGCUGAGAGCCGGCUGCAGGGCGGCACUACACUGAGGCCUCUCCGCUCAUUGUUCGCAGGAUCUGCUGCUCUCUUGCUGUCUAUGGCACACCUCUGGAAAAGCCGCCGGCACAUCCGUCUGGAGAAACCUGAAGCACUGGAAUGGGACUGGGGGGACAGUGAUGAAGACUACAGGAUUCCUAUCCACCAUGGCCUAGUGUUUUGAUGCCAUCUAUUGGAAUAAUUGACCAAUUUAUCAAGGGGAGUAUACAGAGUGACUACCAACUGAAAUGCUUUCUAUCCUCAUAAUAGAAGUGGUCAAUUAUAAAUAUAUCGGUUACAAUUACUAAAUUCUACCCAACAAACAUUGAGUAAACAUUCAGCUCAUUUUGAUAUCAGAAUGACUUUCUCUCAACUACAUCUACCAAGUCAAAUUUCAAAUGAUGAAAAGGUGAUAUGAUCGUGAACUAGAGAUAUCUUGAUUUUGCAUGAUGCCAUGUGUUUUUAUAAUGAAAAACAAUGAAAUGGAUCAAUACAAAGCAUACCUCUUUUCUCCCAAACAUUGGAAAUCACAGAGAAUGAAAAUGAAACACAAAGUGGAUGGUUUCCUGUAUUAAACAAAGGUUGAAUUUUAUAAAUGUUAACAUGAUAUCAAUAAUGUAAUAACAAUAAAUAUACUGUAAUUCGAACGAUA